UAUAAGCUUGUAUCUAGACUAAGCUGAUAUGAAGGUAAUCAUUGUACCUUCAAUUCUUGUUUCCUUUUCUAUUUGCUCAUGGUCUGGUGAGUUGAGUGUUGGAUGGAAGAAGAAAGCGGGUAUCUAACUUGAGGAGAGCAUGCUGAAGUCCAACUCCCUCUGACUGUGACAGCUAAGUUAUGACGCUGGAAUGCAACAAAUGAUAAAUAAUUUCCAGUUCAAAAGCAAAUGAAAAAUUAAUACAUGUAAGAUGUCACAGAUUCAGAUAUUAUAUGUGAUUUUAUGUUUGUGCAUUUGUUGUAC
rnacentral:lncRNA from 1 species